CGCUCCCCGCGCUGCCGCCGCCGCUCUCGGCUCGCCGGGGUCCCGCGGAGCCCGGGGCCGGUGCGGGACAUCCGCGCCCAGCAGCCACCAGCGCCGUCCUGCCUCGCCGCCGCCAUGGCCAUCUCCUCGCGCCUGGCGCUCUGGGAGCAGAAGAUCCGUGACGAGGACCGGGGGCCACCCCCGUCUGCACCCCCCCUGCUGCUGUCGGUCAUCCCGGGGGGGUUCAUCAGGCAGCUCGUGAGGGAGACGGAGCAGGAGGCCAAGGCGGCGCGGCGGAGGAAGGAGAGCAGGGUGGGCACCAAGGAGGAGCCCACGGAGAAGGACGGCGAGGCCGGAGGAGGGGGAGCCGCCGAGGGGCCGCUGCGGAACGGGCUGAAGGCAGAGGGGCAGGGGGCCAAGGGGGUCACGGCCCCCCCGCACAAGGAGCUGCCCCCUGAGAAGGCUGUGCCGGGGACUGUCCCCAGCAAAAUCCCGGCCCCUGCACCUGGCCCGGCAGCGCCUGCCCCCAAACCGGCAGAGGCGACCCCCAAAAAAGCAGAAACGUCCCCCAAAACAGCAGCACCUGUCCCCAAACUGGCAGAGACACCCCCAAAGAGAGCAGAGACCCCCCGAAAACCAGCAGAGGCAUCCUCAAAACCAGCAGAAACAUCCCCUAAAACAGCAGAGGCUUCUUCCAAACCAUCAGAGACCACCCCCAAACUGGCAGAGACCCCUCGCCCAGGGGCUCCCAAAGUGGGAAAGCCAUUGUGGCCUGGGAAGAGCCUCAGGGACUCCUUCCUGGGGGGCAGCCCCCCAGCUCCAGCCCCUGCACCCAGCCAGGGCCCCCAGCAAGGCAGCAAAGUCCCAGCGAAGGAAGGGAACGUGGCCAAGGGGACAGUCCCUGAGACCACCAAGAAGGAGAAGGGGACAGUCCUUGAGACCACCAAGGAGAAGGGGACAGUCCUUGACACCACCAAAAAGGAGAAGGGGACAGUCACUGAGACCACCAAGGAGAAGGGGACAGUCCUUGAGACCACCAAAAAGGAGAAGGGGACAGUCACUGAGAGCACCAAGGAGAAGGGGACAGCCCCGAGGCGCGAGGAGCCCCUAGCCAAGGUGAAAGCCCAGUGGGAGCUGUUGUCAGCCAGGAAAGAGCCAGAGAAGAUGAAGAAAGAUGUUGGACGUGGCAAGAAGGAGCCAAAGGAGAUCAAAAAGCCUGAAAAAAACACCAACAAGUCAGAGGGUGUCAAGGGGGAGCCGGGAGGGAUCCAAGAGAAGUCCACAGAUGUGGGAAAAGAGGUGGGGAAGGUGAAGGAAGAGCUGGGAAAGGGUAAAGAGAUGCUGAAAGAGAGCGAAGGGAUUGGCAAGAGCAUGGAAAAGGACCAGGCUAAAGAAACAUCGGGAACAAGCAAAGAGACGAGCAAGAGCAUGGAAAAAGACCAGGAUAAAGAGGCAUCGGGCGAGAGCACGGACAAGGAGCAGGCUCCCAGGGACGUUUGGUACGAGGCAGAGAAGGUCUGGCUGAUCCAGCAGGACGGGUUCACACUCGCCACGCAGCUGAAGCCAGACGUGGGGACCCCGGAGCUGCCGGCCGGGAGGGUGAGGGUGCGCCGGGACGAGGAUGGCACCGUCACCGAGGUGGACGAGGACAGCGUGCAGAGGACCAACCCCCCCAGCCUGGACCAGGCCGAGGAUCUGGCCGCGCUCGUCAGCCUCAACGAGUGCAGCGUCCUGAACACGCUGCGGCAGCGCUACCGCGCCCGCCUGCCCUGCACCUACGCGGGGUCCAGCCUGGUGGCCAUCGCCACCGGCCCCGCGCCCGCCGGAGGAGCCGGGAAGGUCCCCAGGGGGAAGCGGGACAACCUUCCCCCGCACAUCUGCUCGCUGGCACACAGAGCCUACAGGAACCUGCUGAUGCAGCGGCAGGACCAGGCCAUCAUCCCCCUGGGGCACAGCGGGGCCGGCAGGACCCGGUGCUGCCAGAGCGCUCUGGAGUUCCUGGUGGGCACGGCGGGCAGCCUGGACGGAAGGGUCUCAGUGGAGAAGAUCCAGGCGAUGUUCACAGUCCUGGGAGCCUUUGGCUCAGUGACCACCAGCCACAGCAGCAGUUCCACGCGCUUCUCCAUGGUCCUGUCCCUGGAUUUCAGUGCCACCGGCCAGGUCACAGCUGCUCACCUCCAGACCUUGCUGCUGGAGAGGACCCGCGUUGCCCAGCAGCCCGAAGGAGAGAGCAGCUUCAACAUCUUCCCACUGCUGCUGGCAGGGCUGGAUGUGGCAGAGAGGACGAUGCUGCACCUGCACCAGGCGGCUGAGAGCAAUUCCUUUGGGAUCAAACCCUUCACAAAGCCCGAGGACAAGCAGAGAGCCUCGGUGGCCUUCACCCAGCUCCGGGCUGCCAUGGGCACGCUGGGCAUCACCAGGGAGGAGCAGGCGGCCGUGUGGCGCAUCCUGGCCGGAAUCUACCACCUGGGAGCUGCUGGAGCCUGCAAAGUGGGCAGGAAGCAGUUCCUGAGGUUCGAGAGCGCCAGCCGCGCUGCCGAGGUGCUGGGCUGCGACGUGGAGGAGCUCGGCACCGCCGUCUUCAAGCACCACCUGAGGCACAUCCUGGCACAGGUGACAGCGCGGGGCCGGCCCCAAGCGGAGGAGAGCCCGCCAGGGCCCAAGAUGACGGGAGUGGAGUGUGUGGAGGGAAUGGCCGCGGGGCUCUACGAGGAGCUCUUUGCCGCCGUGGUCUCGCUCAUCAACAGGUCCUUCUCCUCCCAGCACCUCUCCAUGGCCUCCAUCGCCGUGGUGGACACCCCUGGCUUCCAGAGCCCGCGGCAGCAGCGGGGCGAGCGCGCAGCCACCUUCGAGGAGCUGUGCCACAACUACGUCCAGGAGAGGCUGCAGGGGCUCUUCUACGAGAAAACCUUCCUGCGGGAGAUGGAGAGGUACAGAGAGGAAAAUGUUGAGGUGUCUUUUGAUCUUCCAGAGCGCUCUCCACUGGCCACGCUGUCCAUCAUCGACCUGAGCUGCUCCCAGCCGCAGGUGCUCCCGGGCAGCCCCGGGGCCGCCCGCCGGGGGCUGCUGUGGAUCCUGGACGAGGAGGUGCUGAUCCCAGGCUCCGGGGAUGGCACUGCCUUCGAGCGCCUCUGCUCCUACUUCGCCACCAAGGGUCCCGACCAGGAGGGUGAGGGGCAGCUGCGCAGGUGCGAGCAGACGCUGCACUUCGAGAUCUGCCACCAGCUGGGCACGGCCCCCGUGCGCUACGACCUCACGGGCUGGGUCAGCAAGGCCAAGUUCAACCUCUCGGCCCAGAAUGCCAUCCAGGUGCUGCAGAAUUCCACGGUAGCUGCGGUUCGGGAGCUGGUGCAGCCGCGGGCCGGGGCUCCGCUGUCCUGCCGCGCCCUGGCCGGGCUGGAGGGUCGCUCCCAGGCCGCCCUGCACCGCAACGCCUGCCUGAGGAAAACCUUCGCCAGCAGCUUCGCCGCCGUCAGGAAGAGGUCGGUGUGCGCCCAGAUCAAGCUGCAGGCGGAUGCCCUCACCAACCUUCUCCGACGGGCCCAGCUGCACUUUGUCCACUGCCUCCUGCCAGGGAUGGGCCAGGAGGGGCCGGUCCCUUGGCCCCCGGCGCCCCCGGACGCUGCCCCACAGCUGGAUGUGGUGGCCCUGAGGACACAGCUGGAGGGGACCCAGCUCCUGGAUGCCCUGCGCCUGCACCGUGUCGGCUAUUCGGAUCGGCUGCUGCUCACGCAGUUCCGCAGGCGCUUCCAGGUGCUGGCUCCCGAGGUGAUGAAGAAGCACAACUCUGCCUACGAGGUGCCAGAUGAGAGCAAGGCUAUCGAGGAGCUGUUCCAGGCGCUGGAUCUGGAGAAGAAGAGCGUUGCCGUAGGACGCACCCAGGUGUUCCUGAAGCCGGGGGUCAUCUCCAGGCUGGAGAAGCAGCGGGACAAGCUGAUAGCCCAGAAGAUGACUCUGCUCCAGGCUGCCUGCAAGGGCUUCCUCAGCCGCCAGAAGUUCAAGAGAUUGAAGAUCCAGCGCCUCGCCAUCCGCUGCAUCCAGAAGAACCUGGUGGUGUUCCAGGCAGUCAGGCACUGGCCCUGGUGGCAGCUGCUGAGCCACGUGCGGCCCCUGCUCAGCGUUAACGUCGCCGAGGAGCAGCUCCGUGCUAAGGAAGAGGAGCUGGCGGCGCUGAGAAGGAAGCUGGAAAAAUCCGAGCAGGCGUGCAGCGAGCUCAGACAGAAUACAGAGAGCCUGGAGAGCAAGAUCAUCGACCUGACCACGGAGCUGUCGGAUGAGCGGUACAAGGGCGAUGUCACCUGCCAGGCCCUGGACGGGGAGCGGGCGGAGCGGCUGCGGGGCACCCGCGAGCUGCAGGAGCUGCAGAGCAAACACAACCAAGUGCAGAAGAAACUGGAGUCGGUGGAGAAGCAGCUGGAAGAGGCGCAGCAGCUGGUGCAGCUGCGUGAGAUGAAGAUAAGCGGCUCUGGAGGAGAGGACGAGUGGCAGGUGAGGUUUGACUGCGCCCAGACCGAGAUCGUUUUCCUGCGGAAGCGGCUGGCGCAGCUGGAGGAGCGGCUGGAGGCAGAGCUGGGCACCAGGACAGGGCUGGAGCAAAAGCUGGGCGAGGCGCAGGCCGCGUGCCAGGCGGCGCGGGACGGGGCGCAGCGGCUGCGGCGGCGGUGCCAGCGCCUGGCCUGCGAGCUGGAGGACGCCCGGGUGCUGGCCGAGAACCAGCAGAGCCGCAGCCACGAGCUGGAGAAGAGGCAGAAGAAGUUUGACCUGCAGUUAGCCCAGGCCCUGGGGCAAUCUGCCUUCGAGAAGAGCCUCCGUGAAAAGCUGUCCCAGGAGAACACGAGCAUCCGCUGGGAGAUGGGCAAACUUCAGCAGAGCCUGCAGGGGGUUGGGAUGAUGCCUCUGGAGAUGCUGUGGGCUCUGAGAGCGGGGUGUGAGUGUCCUGGCUCUGACCCCCGCUCUGCCCAGCACAAGGAAGCUGAGGUGGCCAGGCUGGAGCAGCAGGUGGCCGUGCUGGCCGGCCGGGUGCAGGAGCUCAGCGCCCCCGGGACCACGGACACAGUGCCCGCGCUCAAGAAGAAGCUCUGGGACCUGGAGGGCAGCGCUGCCGAGCAGAAGAAGGAGCUGGAGCGGCAAACGGCCGCCGUUGAUCACCUGGAGCAGGUGCACGAGAGGCUGGAGCUGGAGAUCGAGCGGAUGAAGCAGAUCCACCAGAAGGAGCUGGAGGACAAGGACGAGGAGCUGGAGGACACGCAGAAGUCCUGCCAGAAGAGGCUCCGGCAGCUGGAGAUGCAGCUGGAGCAGGAGCACGAGCAGAAGCAGAUGGUGCUGCACGAGAAGCAGGACCUGGAAGGGCUCAUUGGCACCUUGUGCGAGCAGAUCGGCCACCGCGACUUCGACGUGGAGAAGCGGCUGCGGCGGGACCUGCGCAGGACCCGCGCCCUCCUGGCCGACGUUCAGCUGCUGCUGGCGGCCCCGGCAGAGCCCGGAGCCAGCGCCCAGGAGCUGGAGCACCUGCGCAAACAGUUGGAGGAGAGCGAAGCAAGGUGUGCAGAGGCCCAGCGAUCCCAGCAGACAGUGGCCCUGGAGCUGGAGAACCUCCACACGGAGCUGGAGACCCUCAGCAGGAACAAGACCCUGGUGGACGAGCAGCUGUUCCAGCUGCAGCAUGAGCGAGCCGACCUGCUGAAACGCAUCGACGAGGACCAGGAAGACCUGAACGAGCUCAUGGAAAAGCACAAGGCUCUGAUCGCCCAGUCGGCCACAGACAUCGCUCAGAUCCGGGAGCUGCAGACACAGGUGGAGGAUGUGAAGAAAGAAAAGCAGAGCCUGCAGGAGAAGCUGCAGGCAGCUCAGGCCAGGGCGGCGCAGCUGGAGCAGUGCCCGGCCGAGCGCUCCAUCGUCAGCCGGCAGGAAGCGCGGAUCCGGGACCUGGAGAGCCAGCUGGACUUCCAGGCCGUGCAGAUGAAGCGCUUCGAGGUGCUGGUGCUGCGCCUGCGAGACAGCAUCAUCCAGAUGGGAGAGGAGCUGGAGAAGGCGGCCGAGUCGGAGGCACGGGAGAGGGAGAACACCAGGUACUACCAGAGGAGGAUGGAGGAGAUGAAGGCUGACAUGGACGAGCUGGUGCAGAGGGAGCUGGAGUCCAGCCGCCGGCGCAUGGAGCUGGAGCAGCAGCUGGCAGAGCUGGCAGAGGUGCGGCAGGCGCUGCAGGCUGACCUGGGCACCUCCAUCCGCCGCAUCGCAGACCUGCAGGUGGCCCUGGAGGGGCUGCGGGACAGCGACGACAGCGACGCUGACAGCGCGCGGACGGCGCGGGAGUCGCAGUGCUCCAGGAGAGACACGGAUGCCUGCUCCAGUGUUGGCUCCGUGCUCAGCCUGGAGCCCGCAGAGAGCCUCAAGUCCUGGCCGAGUUCCUCCGCGGGCUGGACGUCCCUGGCGAGCGCCAGCGUGGCCGGGAGCGUCUCAGCACCGUCCAUCGGCAGCCGCAGCACCCAGAGCCUCAGGGUGAGCAGAGACACCAAGGACGCCGCUCUGAGCCGGCCGCUGUCCUCCCGCAGCGCUGCCCGGCCCAGCGACGCUGCGGAUCCCGGGAGGACGGCGAGUCCCCUGCCGGGGACAAGAAGACGGGAAUAUGGAAAACCUCUGGCGGAAGAAGAGGAGCUGGAGAGCCCAAAGAAGCCCGUGGAGAGGAUAGCAGAGACGUCGCCAUCGAUGCUGCGCCGUGGCGGCUCCCCGGCUGCGGACGGGCGGGUCCCCAGCGCGAUGUCCCCGCCGGUGCCCGGCAGGAGGAGGCUCUCGGUGGCCUCGGGGCCGGUGCCCAGCUCUGCCGCUCUCUCCGAGUACGUGGAGGAGCUGCGGCGGCAGCGGGGAGCGGAGCGGGAGCCGGGGCUGCCGGCGCUGGGGGACCCCUCUCCGCUCCCCAUUUACCGCACCACGGGCGCCGCGGCCCUGCGCCGCUCCAGGGCUGUCCCGGCGGCCGAGGAGCUCCCGGGGAGGCUGGAGGGGGAUCAGGCAGGCGAAGGGGAGGGAGCAGGUGGCAGCCUCACACGCUCCUCCAGCCUGCGGAGCAUGGCCUCGGAGCCGGCAGAGCCCCCGCGGUCCCCAGCGCUGAAAAAGGCAUCGAAAUUCGGCUCCUACGACUCGCUGCUGCCGGCCCUCGACGGCUCCGGCCGCCGGCCGAGCUCCCCGGCUGCCGGCAUGGAGGUGCCGCGGCUGAGCUCCUGGAGGAGCUGCCUGGAGCCGUCGCUGGAGGAUGUGGAGCUUGGGAAGGAGCCGGAGGCAUUUCUGAGCUCUGUGUCCAGCGAGGGGCUGGGCGAGGGGAAGGGGAGCGACCCCUUCAGCUGGCGAAUACCCACCCUCAACUACGAGAGGAGAACCAAGGUUGACUUCGACGAUUUCCUGCCGGCCAUCCGCAAGUCCCGCUCCGCCAGCAGCCUGGCCAGGCCCCGCAGGGACAGAAGGGACGGCCACCGGCCCCUCACCGUGCGCUUCGAGGAUGAGGCCGGUCCGGAGCCCUCUGAGGCCAAGGGCACGGCCAAGAGCAGGGAAGAGCCCGGGGAUCUCUCUGACUCCUCCUCAUCCUCCGGCUCCCACCUCUCCUCCCGCAGCGCCGACAGCAUCAAGCGCCGGCCGCAGCCGGCGAGAGGGGCCGGGGAGGGCUCCAGCGGCACCCUGGGCAGCGGGACGAGCCGCAGAGCCGAGGCCGAAGGGAAGGAGGACGAUGUCAGCAGCAUCAUGAAGAAGUACCUGGGCAAAGACUAAAAGGAUUCGCUUCGAUCCAAGCGCAGCAGCUGGCCCCGACCCGCAGUGACGAGGAGCCACGUGGGGCACACGGCUCCCCUGCUCCUGCAGAACCGCCUCACGUGAGCAGAGACUGUGAGUGGCUCCACAAAAGUCAUGGGAUGCUUCUACAGACUUUUUUGGUCCUGGACACACCGUGGUUUCCUUAUGCUCCCGCCCCGUUUCCCAACGCCGCAGCUUUGCUCAGGGCCAGCCGCGGGGACAAGGACUUUCCUGUUCUCCUGCAGUUGUUUGACUUGGGAGUUGGUGCUUUAAUUAAAACCCAGCGGCUGCCACAGACGCUGAGGAUGUGCCACAGUCCGGGAAAGGCCACUCAGAGGACUGCAGGGACACCAAACACCUCCUUUGCCACCCAGGGCUGCAGCCCAGGUGUCUCAUCCCGUGUUGCACUGCUCAAAAAUCAGCCGAUCUUCGAGGAUGCUCUCGGGUCUCAGUGUGACGCCCAGCAACAGCAGAGCUCCGAAGUUUUUAUAAUUCCACAGGUAUUUGAAGAUGGAUCCAUCUGUGCUUCCAUGGCUGUGGGGGACAUCCGGGCACAUCCCAGUGGCGUGCAAGGCACAAGGACACAAAGGAAAUUGCUCUGUCACUUGGAAUGGCUGUGCACAUCCUUUAAUGACAAACCAGGACAAAAAGAUGCUUGGCCUGGAGCGUUUCAGGCUGAGUCCAGAGAAUUGUUUGCCCUUGGAGCAGGCAGAGACCAAAGCUCAUGGAUGGUGAGACCGAGCCAUCCAUCAGCGCUGGCCGGUGGAAAAUACAGCACAGGAGGGAGAGCUCUGGCUCCCUGCUCCCCCCGGGAUGCUCAGGAGACACAAAACUGAU